GAUUAAGUGGCUGAAGUUUAGGCGAUAGAUUGUAAAUCUAUUUAUAAGAGUUAUUCUUCUUAAUCAUU
rnacentral:tRNA from 1 species